AGCUACGUAGCUCAGGGGAAGAGCGCCGGGCUCAUAACCCGGAGGGCCUUGGAUCGAAACCAAGCGUAGCUA
rnacentral:tRNA from 1 species